UACCGUGUUUCUCCGAAAAUAAGACCGGGUCUUAUAUUAAUUUUAGUCACAAAAAAACACACUAGGGCUUAUUUUCAGGGUAGGGCUUAUUUAUUUACGUUACCAGUAUGUACAGCUCUUUCUCUUUGCACUCAUCUUGUCUGGGGAUCAAAAUACCAUACUGUCUAAUUAAUCCACCCCCCCUUUAAUAAAUCCACCCCCUCUAAUUAAUCCAC